GACGAACGCUGGCGGCGUGCCUAAUACAUGCAAGUAGAACGCUGAAGAGAGGAGCUUACUCUUCUUGGAUGAGUUGCGAACGGGUGAGUAACGCGUAGGUAACCUGCCUUGUAGCGGGGGAUAACUAUUGGAAACGAUAGCUAAUACCGCAUAACAAUGGAUGACACAUGUCAUUUAUUUGAAAGGGGCAAUUGCUCCACUACAAGAUGGACCUGCGUUGUAUUAGCUAGUAGGUGAGGUAAUGGCUCACCUAGGCGACGAUACAUAGCCGACCUGAGAGGGUGAUCGGCCACACUGGGACUGAGACACGGCCCAGACUCCUACGGGAGGCAGCAGUAGGGAAUCGUCGGCAAUGGGGGCAACCCUGACCGAGCAACGCCGCGUGAGUGAAGAAGGUUUUCGGAUCGUAAAGCUCUGUUGUAAGUCAAGAGCGGGUGUGAGAGUGGAAAGUUCACACUGUGACGGUAGCUUACCAGAAAGGGACGGCUAACUACGUG
rnacentral:rRNA from 1 species